rnacentral:RNase_P_RNA from 1 species
GAAGCUGACCAGACAGUCGCCGCUUCGUCGUCGUCCUCCUUCGGGGGGAGACGGGCGGAGGGGAGGAAAGUCCGGGCUCCAUAGGGCAAGGUGCCAGGUAACGCCUGGGGGGUGUCACAGCCCACGACCAGUGCAACAGAGAGCAAACCGCCGAUGGCCCGCGCAAGCGGGAUCAGGUAAGGGUGAAAGGGUGCGGUAAGAGCGCACGCGCGGCUGGUAACAGUCCGCGGCACGGUAAACUCCACCCGGAGCAAGGCCAAAUAGGGGUUCAUAAGGUACGGCCCGUACUGAACCCGGGUAGGCUGCUUGAGCCAGUGAGCGAUUGCUGGCCUAGAUGAAUGACUGUCCACGACAGAACCCGGCUUAUCGGUCAGUUUCACCU